UACGGGGGGGGCAAGCGUUGUUCGGAAUUACUGGGCGUAAAGGGCUCGUAGGUGGCCAACUAAGUCAGACGUGAAAGUCAAAGGCUCAACCUUUGAAAGCCGGUGGAUACUGUGAGGCUAGAGUACGGAAGAGGCGAGUGGAAUUCCUGGUGUAGCGGUGGAAUGCGCAGAUAUCAGGAGGAACACCAAUAGCGAAGGCAGCUCGCUGGGACGUUACUGACACUGAGGCGCGAAAGCGUGGGGAGCGAACAGG
rnacentral:rRNA from 1 species